GUCUCCGGCCAUACCACCCGAACGCGCCCGAUCCCGUCUGAUUUCGGAAGCUAAGCAGGGUCGGGCCUGGUUAGUACUUGGAUGGUGGGAGUACAUCACAUCUCAGUACUAGCACUGAAUGUA
rnacentral:rRNA from 1 species